AUAUUGGUCUGGGAGGGAGAUGAUGGUGGCUUGGACUAGGGACUUUGGAGUGGAGACAGAGAGGGGGAAUUUGAGAGGGAUUUUGGUGGUAGAAUCUUGACAUUAAAGUGCAAGGGACUUGUUUUUCCUUCGCUGCAGAAAAACCUUGCUGCUUCUGCUGCUUCUCAUCAUGUAUUUUUCUCCCCUUAUAAUUCCUUUGCAUUUUUAUUAUCCAUGCUGUUGAAACUCCCCUAACAGUAAUUCAACCUGCUACUACUACUACAGCAUUGAGGGGAGUUAUUUAUAAAAUUCAGUCAUCUUAAGUGGGACGCAAUUUCUGGACCAAAUUCUACUACAAAGAUUGCCUGCCUGCCAGCUCCCUGAUGCUCCUAAUUCUCAGUAUUUUCCCAUCACCCUUUACAGCAGGGGUUCUCAACAAUGGCGCAGUCAACAUUUGGGGCAGAUAAUUCUUUGUUGUGGGGGCCUGUCCUGUGAAUUAUACGAUGUUUGGCAGCAUCCCUGGCCUCACUCACUGGAUGCCAUUAGUGCCCUCCCACCCCAAUUGUGCCCACAACAAAAAUGUCUCCAGGUAUUGUCUAAUAUCCCCUAGGGAAGUGGGGAGAGACUAACCCCCACCAUUACCCCCAGUGAGAACCACUGGUCUCUACAAGUUCAGGGAAAGCCCUGUCCCUGGGGCUGAGCUAAUGGGAAUUCAGAUUCCAUCUCCUCCUCCCUUCUGCAUACUCCUUGUGGGACACACACACACACACACACACACACACACACACACAGACAGACACAUACACGUCUAGUAUAAUGAAAGCUCUCUGAGUUCCCUUUGACUUGUUGUCCUGUCUGUGUUGAAUGUGGAACAACAUGGCUUAAGAGAGUCCUGGUCAGUCGUGUGUCCACCAGGCAAGUGACUGAACAACUCAACUCCCAUCACUACUUACCCAUCACUGCUUCUCCUCAGCCUAUCUGCAGAACAUGUUCUUGCCAGGACUAGCUGUCUUUAAAGCCAAGCUUAAGUCUCACUUCUUCCAUGAAUCCUUGUUGGCCUGUUCAACUUCCUGUGGCUGGUAGGGGCAGUUGAAUGACUGUUUAAUUCAUUCAUUCAACAAAUAUUUACUGAGCCCCUACUAUGUGUCGGGCAUUGUUCUGAGUCCUGGAAAUACAGCAAUCAACAAAUCAGAGUGUCUACUCUCAUGAACUUACUAGAAGGGAAGAGACAAUGAAUGAAUGAAUGAAUGAAUGAUGUAGUGUGGGGGCAUAAAUGUAGGGGUUUGGACGGAUCAAUAGUCUAUCCCCCAUGUGUGGUAGGUAGUUUCCAAAGAAGGCCCUUCCCUCCCUGUAUGUGCAGACUGCUCUUUACAUCAAGAUGCUGGGAUGGCUCUGUGACUGCAUCAACCAAUAGGAUUCAGUAGGAGUGAUAUUCCAGGGCUUCUAUGACCAAGAAGAAGACUUAAGAAGACUGUUGGCUCCUACUUCCUUCCUCUUGGAACACUUGCUUUUGGAACAGUCCCACUUGGAACCUAGUUGCCAUGCCAGGAGGAAGCCCAAGCCCAAGCAGCUAUGUGGAGGAGAGCCAAGCCCCGCCCACCCCCCCCACCCCCCCAGCAGACAGCCCCAGAUGAGCUCCCAGCUAGUGGCCAGCACCAAACACCAGCCAUGUGAGUGAGGCCAUUUGGGACCUUCCAGCCGGUCCAGCAUUCCAGCUGACAACCUGGGAAGCAAAAGAACUAUCUGGUCAACCCACAGACUCUUGAGAAAUAGUAAAUUGUUAACUUAAGCUACCGAGUUUGGGACGAAUUGUUAUGCAGUGAUAGAUAAAAGAGACACAUCUAAAUCCAUAACCACUGACAGGCCAGCAUAAGAGCCCAACAGAUAUUUAAACUUAUAAUUGGUAACGCUGACUGGAGGAUAUAGCUAGUUAAUGCUUUACUCAUGAACUAGACAGAGUCCAGUGACUGGCACAGCUGGAUACCCUCAGGCCUUCUCUUCUUCCCCCUCCCUCCUGGGCAGGUGGGGAGGCCCCUUCUGUGAGACAGAGAGCAGACGAGAACUUGCUCUCUGCAGAAAGGCUGGCUCCCCGGAGAAGGCGGCCAAGCUGAGCAUGCUCAGUGUCUUCCCCCAGACUCAUCCGUCAGACAACUCAGUCCUCCCACAGAGAACAGGGAGUGAUGGGUAGGGAGACAGGCCAACAGAGAUGGUCUGACUGGUCUUCCUCCAUGUGGAAAUAUGACGAAUAUGAGAAAAAGAGUGUCCCAGCAGUGACAAGGGCUCUGCCAAGGAGAAGCUGUGUUUGUGCUACUCAACACAGGCUGGACAGGGAAGACCUCUUUGAGGGGUUGACAUUUGAGCAGUGAUCUGGAUGGGGGGCCGUGGGGACAUCUGGAGAAGAGCUUCUAGGCAGAGACAGUGGUUAGGGUGUUUGCAGAGCAGCAGGGAGGCCCGUGUGCCUGAAGCUGGGGGCGGGGCAUGAGACGAGGAGAAGGGAUUGAGGUUUAGAGGUGGGCAGAGGCCAGAGCAUGGGGGCCAAGUGCACCUGGGAAGGAUGUCAGACUUUAUUUUACAUGUGAUGGGAAGUCACCAGAAGGUGAUCAAUGUUCCUUGAUAAGUGGGGUCUCCAGGUCACAAAGGCAAGGGCUUCAGUGUCCUGGUAGUUAGGUUUCCUGUUUGUUGGAGGUGUGGCUGAGCCAGGAAGAAGGGGCUGCAGGGCUCCUGUGUGUUGGUGAGGCCACCAAGCUGGAGGGGUGGAGACUCCAGGUGCUCAGUCACGUGCACUGCGAUCGGGUCCAACACCUGGCUGGUUACAGACACUUUCAGAACAAAAUGGCCAAACAAAAGGUGUUUGCUUUGCAAGACUUCUGGUCUGAGCCACAUGGGCAGUGGAAUUUCAGACAACAAACUUCACGUGAGUGCCUAUGUAAUGUUCAGGGCAUUCUACAGACACUGGGUGGGACGGAGGGGCAGCGAUGACUACAGUGGGCUCUGCUUGUCUUCCUGGAGAAGGAGAAGGAAGGUGAUGUCUCCAUAAUGAAAGGGAGAAUGCUGUCACCACCACAGGGAGUGCUGAGGGCCCUCAGAAGAUGCAGAGACCACAUACGAGAAGGGGAUUGGCUGAAGUUGCUGUGGCAUGGAAGAUAUGCUAUACAAACUUACGAGUAUAUUAUAUACACUGCUUUUCCAAAUACUCCUUGCAGGCUUAACCCUACGUGAGGAACUGGGCUAUGCACCCAGCACUUACAACAGUAGGCGUUCUGCAAAUUAUUGAUUGGCUGACUCUACACAGAUCAUCCUAUUUAGCGCCUACAAACAACUCUAUGAAGUAGGCAUCAUGCCCAUUUUACAGAUGAAGAAACUGAGACUUACGGGGGUUAAGGAACUUGUCUGAAGUCCCCGCCACCAGGAAGUGAUAGAGGCAGGACUGGCACAGCAGUUCUUCAGUAUUGAAGACUUCUCCGCAGAAGCAGAAAGGGUAGAGGCCUACCUCGGUUCCCCUCCAACUCUCUGGCUGGUCAACAUCUAAGGGCCUCCUCACCCUGAGAUGCUGUCUUUCUUUCCAUAGAAAGGGUGGGGCAGGCUCACAGGAAGCUGGGUCACCACCCUUUGCCUCCGGCUUCCCAGAGUAAAAAAUAACUUGCUGUUCCCGGAAGUACGUGCAUACUGCAGGAAGGACAUGGAAUAUUAGUCAAGGCUCCCUUUGUUCUGCAACUGCGGUAAAAAAUGUAGCUGCCUCUCUCUCCAGCUCCGCUCCCUUCUCUCCCAUCACCACCUCUUGUCUCCUCUCAUUCAGAAUAACUGGGAGAGCUUGUACUGGAAUUCCAGUUUUUCCUAAAGUGUGGAAAACUCGUCCCUGCUGGUAUGGCAAAUGAUCUUCACUGGGAAACAGCCAGACUUCUAAGGAAUCGUAAUUGUUAUGUAUGUCUUUCUACAGUCCUGUUUUUGGCAGGACAUACCGGGCUUCCAGUUAUUACAACAAUCAAAUAUUUCCCUCAUAAUUAUAUUUAAAUUUAAAACGUGAGUUGAUUUUAAGAAAAUUUUAACCGGUUAACAACUCCGGUGGUGUGGAGAUACGGCCAGAAUCACGAACAAGGAUGUAAAGGGCUCGAGCGUGGGAAAUACUCAUCUUAGUUCAGAGCCCAGUACACCAUCUCUUAAGAAGGGCUGUGCGAAUACCGGCAAAUUUUUUGGAAGAGCCCCGUCGGUGAGUCUAAGGGCUGGCUCUAGGCCGGCCCAGGAGCUGGAAGGACAGGAGUCUUGGCUGUGCCAUUCCCCCUGGGGGCCUGCGUGAGCCUCCUGGCUCUAGGCCGAGUUCCCCUUUUCUGCAAUUGAGGAGGUUGCUGCCCUUCCAGCCGGCGCCUUCUCCUUCUUUCACCCUCCUGCCAGCUCUGGAGCUUAGACCAGGAGACAGUGUAAGGGGAAACGAUUUCAUGUUUCACCUGCACACUCGCUUCCUUAUCAAAUACUCCUUGUGCCCCUCUGUGCACCGGGCACCUCUGCUCUCUCUAGGAAAGUCGUUACUUAAGGCCGUCUUGUCUCGGCCACCAAAGCCCAGGGCGCCACCUGCUGUCCCCAUGGAGCCAGUGCAGCCUCCGAUUUCGAGCCCCCUUCACCCGGAGGGAGAGGAUGAGAAUCCCCGGGAAAUCCGGGGACGCAGGUCUUUUGCGAGCAGUUGGCAAGGCCGAAAGGGGAUGCAAAGUAAAUGGAUGUGGGCAAUUGGAAGAAAAGCCUCCCACGGAUGGAAGGGCCCGGAGAGAACCGAAGGGAAGUGGGCAGCCGCCGCCGCCGCGUCUCGCCGUGCUUUUCUCUGGGAUAAACGCUUACGACUGGCACCUCCAGGCGACCAAGGGGCACUGGGUCUGCUCCCCACCGCAUCCCCGGGUGUGGAGAGAGCAGCUGGGGAGCUGCAUCAGAAUCUCAAUAAAUGGAUGAUGAAUGAAUUUAAUUGGGACAGUGCAUUCUUUUUUGCUGCUUUAAGUGGAGAGGAAGGCGAUGCAAGAUUCAAGGUACAGAAAAGGCACCUCCUCCCCCCGCCGCCCCGCAACACACACGGAAAUUGCUCCCCAAAGCUCUCUUUCUCAGCAGUCUCAGCGAGGAGGCGGGAACUCCUCUGAGUCCAGAAUGACAUCUCCAUGUCCGUCCGCCUGGGCCUGCCACCUCCCGCCCCCACCGCCAGUGCCCGCCCUCCUUCGCCUGGUGGACGCUUGAGCAAACAGCUCAAAGUCCAGAAUCCCAGGCCUGACUCCUGAAACCCUGCAUGGCGUGCGGGGGUGAGGCUGGACCAUCCAGUUUUAUCAGCUCCUUCAGCCUCUUCCGAAGGUUGGGGACCAGCCAGGCUUGGGAACCCAGCUCUAAGAGCCAGCAGAGCAAAAGAAGGAGGCCUUUCUGGUGUGGACCCCCAAAUUUUCGACUAUUUUUAGACCUGUGCUAUUUUGUUUACUGGAGCCGGGCAGUCAGAGACCUGGGUUCUGGCAUGAGCGCCCCUCUCUUCUACCCAGGGAGUUGCAGUUCCACGAGUGUUGAUAAAUGUUUGCACCCAGGUGUCCACUGCCACCACAUUCAAAUAUAGAACAGUGCUGUCACUCCACGUUUCCUUGUACCCACGGACCUCUGUUCUGCCACGAAAGAUUAGAUUUGCCAUUUCUAGAGCUUCCUGUAAAUAGAAACAUGCAGUAAGUAUUCUUUCAUGUCCGGCUCUCUCAGCAUGUUUUCAGACUCAUCCAAGUCACGUGUAUUAAUUUUUUUUUCUGACUAGUUUCCAUUGUAUGUAUAUACCCUAAUUUUUUCAUUCAUUUAUCUCUUGGUGGACAUUUGAGUUGUUUCCAGUUUUUGUCUAAUAUGAGUGAAGCUGCCAAGAACAUUCCUUAAGAUUUUGUGUGGAGGUAUACUUCCAUUUCUCUUAGGUAGAUACCUAGGAGUGGGAUUGCUGAGUCAUACUAUAAUGGGUAGCCUUUAAAAGGAAAAUGCCAAAUUAUUUUUCAAAGCGAUUUUGCCAUUUUACAUUCCCUUUAGCAAUGUAUAAGUGUCUUGGGUUGGGUUGCUCCGUGUCUAUACCAAUGCUUGAUAAUAUCGGUCUUUUGAUUUUUUUUUUAAACCUGACUGUUUUCUUAUUUUUAGCACUGUGGGUUUUUUGUUGUUGUUUUGGUUUGGUUUUGUUGUUUUUUUAAAAAUAUUUAUUUAUUUAUUUUUAUUUUUGGCUGCAUCAGGUCUUAGUUGCAGCACGCAGGAUCUUUUGUUGCGGUUUUCGGGCUUCUCUCUAGUUGUGGUGUGUGGGCUCCAGGGCAUGUGGGCUCCGUAGUUGUAGCACAUGGGCUCCAGAGUACAUGGGCUCUGUAGUUGCAGCACUCAGGCUCUCUAGUUGUGGCAUGUGGGCUCAGUAGUUGUGGUGUGCGGACUUAGUUGCCCCACGGCCUGUGGGAUCUUAAUUCCCCACCUAGGGUUUGAACCCGUGUCCCCUGUAUUGGAAGGUGGAUUCUUAACCACUGGACCACCAGGGAAGUCCCAAUGUUGGUCUUUUUAAUAUUAGCUAUUUCAUCGAGUGUGCAGUGGCAUCUCUUCAUUUUGAUUUUAACUUGGACUUUCUUGAUGACUAAUGAUGUUGAGUAUCUUUUCAUGGACUUAUUGGCCAUUUAUGUAAGUCUUCUUUUGCUAAGUGUCUACUCACAUUUUUUGCUCAUUUUUUAUUGGGCAUUGUCUUAUUAUUGAGUUGUAAGAGUUGUUUUUUAAAAAAUUUAUCUGGACACCAAUCCUUUUUCAACUAUAUGUGUUAUAUUUUCUCCCCCUCUGUGGCUUGCUCUUUCAUCUUUUAAAAUGAUAUCUUUAGGAGAGCAGGAGUUAAAUUUAGUUUUUCUUCUGCCAAGUGGAUUUUCAAGAUUUAAUUUUCAAAAUUUAUUUUGGUGCUGAGAAGUGGGAAGGCUAUUUAUUUGUUCACAUAACAUGCCUUAGUCCCCAGUGUUCCUCUGGCCAAGCACACUGCAUGGGAGGAAUCCAUCUGUCUCCCUGACUUGCUCCCAGUCAGUAAUGCCAGCUAGGAAGUGCCUUGGCCCUGACAUCUCAGCUGGAGGCUGCCAAGCAGAGGGGCCAGAGCUAAAUCCCAGUAUAAUGUACUGAAGGUCCAUCCAUGUUGUUGCAAGUGGCAGGAUAUCCUCCUUUCUCAAGAACACUCUGGCAAGCUGACCUGGGCAACGUGGACCAACCCUUUUACACAGACUACUAUGGAAAUGGAGUGGAGUAUGAGUCCUGCUUUGCCUAUGUGGUCCCUCAGUGUGAAGACUGAAGGCUGAGUUCUUAUCGUCGAGAAGGAAGGCUGAUUCAUUCCAUCCCUCCAGAGCCAGAAGACUUACAAGAAGAGCUGGUGUAGAAAGACAGUGCCUGGUACCAGGCUGGCUUAGUCCUGUGCCAGGGCUGGUGCCAUAUGGGAGAGGAGGCAGGAGGUGAGGAGAGGGGCUGGAUCUCAGCUCCAGUCUCCUUACCCCUCUCACCUCCUACUACAGGGUGUCUCUACCCUUCAGCCCAAUAGUGUUCACAGAUCUGACAGUCCAUGGAGAUUCCUUCUUCCUGGGCAAGUGAGGAAGAAGGUGGCAUGGGGAGAGGGACCUUGAAUAUUAAUUAAUUAAUUCAAGGCAACAUAUUAAUUAAUUAAAUUAAAAAUUGCAAUGAACAUCUC